rnacentral:rRNA from 1 species
GACGAACGCCGGCGGCGUGCUUAACACAUGCAAGUCGAGCGGAAAGGCCCUGCUUUUGUGGGGUGCUCGAGUGGCGAACGGGUGAGUAACACGUGAGUAACCUGCCCUUGACUUUGGGAUAACUUCAGGAAACUGGGGCUAAUACCGGAUAGGAGCUCCUGCUGCAUGGUGGGGGUUGGAAAGUUUCGGCGGUUGGGGAUGGACUCGCGGCUUAUCAGCUUGUUGGUGGGGUAGUGGCUUACCAAGGCUUUGACGGGUAGCCGGCCUGAGAGGGUGACCGGCCACAUUGGGACUGAGAUACGGCCCAGACUCCUACGGGAGGCAGCAGUGGGGAAUAUUGCACAAUGGGCGGAAGCCUGAUGCAGCAACGCCGCGUGCGGGAUGACGGCCUUCGGGUUGUAAACCGCUUUCGCCUGUGACGAAGCGUGAGUGACGGUAAUGGGUAAAGAAGCACCGGCUAACUACGUG